AAGACAUAUAAGAAACACCCGGCAUUGUUAGCUUGAAGUGUUGACAUUGACAGGUUUUGAACAUUUGUGGAGCAGUAAGAAGGAGCAGAGGCCAACUGUGGGACCAUUGCGCAGCGAAGAUGGAGGUGCACCAUGGCUUGCCGCAAUGUCACAACUGGUCCUUGGAGAGGCGCUGGUGGUGACGGCCUGCCUGUGCCCUCUCUGCAGCAAAAUUCCACAAAUACUCCACUCACCAAGUUCCAGAGGGAGAGGAUCACCAGCCACCACCGGCCGUACGGCCGUACUAAAGGAAGUGGUUCUAUGUUGGGAUGGAACAUGGCAACUGCACCAGCUGGGACACACCUAGCCAACUGAUCACCAGCCACCACCGGCCGUACUAAAGGAAGUGGUUCUAUGUUGGGAUGGAACAUGGCAACUGCACCAGCUGGAACACACCUAGCCAACUGAUCACCAGCCACCACCGGCCGUACUAAAGGAAGUGGUUCUAUGUUGGGAUGGAACAUGGCAACUGCACCAGCUAGGACACACCUAGCCAACUAUUGUGUUAAGAAUAUGGAGAAAGACGGACCAAGGAAAGAAGAGGAGGAGGAGGUAGAAGAG